UGAUGACUUGAAUUUGCUGCUCCGUGUCGUUAUCCUGAACUGGUUGAUCUGAACCUUUUGCAGUUGGUGUGACAGGAAAAAGAGAAAGUGCACCCUUUUGCACCCUCUCAGGAGGACUACUUGCGGUACUUCCUUGCAUGUCACUCCCUCUAUCCGCCUGAAUAAUUCGAUCACAAUCUGACAUGACCGCACUCUUCUGGCAUGAUAUGUUGCAUGAUUUUUGAUGAGGCCUAACUAAGUUGACCUCAUGCAUAAGUGGACUAUUCUCCUUCUCACUUGACCUGAUCCUGGAAAGUGGAUUCAUUUGCUCGAUAGCUGAACUUGAAGCAGAUGGCUUUAUCACAGGCAUGGAAUACGGUUGAAUGCAGGAUGGAUCAAAGAGUGCAGGACCAGGAAAAAUCCCAGCACCCUGCUUGUGGGAAGUCGGUACACUAUAAGGCACAUUCGCGAAGUCUCCACCUAUAGGUGGAGAUAAAGUCACAGGCCUGCAACUACCAUAAGCUGGCGCUAUGAUCCCUCCAGGCGGUGGACAAGGUCCUGUAUAAGGUUUAUAAAUAAGUCCUUCAGAAGGUGACCUUAUUGGAACUAAAUACUGAUAUCCAGGAGGUGGUUGGAAGGAUCGAGGUGCUAAUUUUGGAUCCGAUAAAAAAGAUCUCGAUGUUGGUGUCCCUACAUUUAGUUUUUGAGAUGAUUGCUG
rnacentral:misc_RNA from 1 species